CCUACGGGGUGCAGCAGUGAGGAAUAUUGGUCAAUGGACGAGAGUCUGAACCAGCCAAGUAGCGUGAAGGAUGACUGCCCUAUGGGUUGUAACCUUCUUUUAUAUGGGAAUAAAAUGUUCCACGUGUGGGAUUUUGUAUGUACCAUAUGAAUAAGGAUCGGCUAACUCCGUGCCAGCAGCCGCGGUAAUACGGAGGAUCCGAGCGUUAUCCGGAUUUAUUUGGUUUAAAGGGAGCGUAGGUGGAUUGUUAAGUCAGUUGUGAAAGUUUGCGGCUCAACCGUAAAAUUGCAGUUGAAACUGGCAGUCUUGAGUACAGUAGAGGUGGGCGGAAUUCGUGGUGUAGCGGUGAAAUGCUUAGAUAUCACGAAGAACUCCGAUUGCGAAGGCAGCUCACUGGACUGCAACUGACACUGAGGCUCGAAAGUGUGGGUAUCAAACAGGAUUAGAUACCCGGGUAGUC
rnacentral:rRNA from 1 species